rnacentral:rRNA from 1 species
CUGCUGCCUUCCGUAGGAGUUUGGACCGUGUCUCGGUUCCAAUGUGGGGGACCUUCCUCUCAGAACCCCUACGCAUCGUCGGCUUGGUGGGCCGUUGCCCCACCAACUACCUAAUGCGCCGCAUGCCCAUCCGUGACCGGGGUCGCCCCCUUUGGCCGGCAGGGGAUGUCCCCUCCCGGCAUUAUGUUGUAUUAGGCGGGAUUUCUCCCGGUUAUCCAUCUGUCACGGCCAGGUUGCAUACGUGUUACUCACCCGUGCGCCGGUCGCCGGCGGCAAG